AUACAUCAUGCUCCCUUUGAAGCUUGAAUCUUCAAGCCAGAUAAUUCUUUUCAUGGAAGGGAAGAAGCAGGAAGUUGGAAUAUCCUGAAAAGCAGGAUGAUCAUAAGGACAAGACAACAGGACCCUGAACAAUAAAAUGUCUGUUCCUACUGAGGCAACACUUCAUGAGAAUUAUUACAUGGACAUUAGCAAUCACUCCAUUUUUAAUCAGAUUCCUCCCAAGAUACUUUCUAACUGGUAGCCACCACCACUCGAGAAUGAAAGGGAAUUGUAGUCCAAAGAAGAUCAUGCUUCAUCUAUAAAAUAUUCGGGAGAAUGAAUAAUAAGGCUGGAUUUACAAAUUGGAACCAAUUUGCAAAUUUAUAGGAACUCAAUGGACUUUUUGGCAUGCUGCAUGUCCCCAAGAAACGCACCUUAUUUUAGAAGAUUCUAAUAUAAUAAAGGGCUUAGUCUGUC